AUUGAACGCUGGCGGCAUGCUUUACACAUGCAAGUCGAACGGUAACAGGGUGCUUGCACCGCUGACGAGUGGCGAACGGGUGAGUAAUGCAUCGGAACGUACCCAGUCGUGGGGGAUAACGUAGCGAAAGUUACGCUAAUACCGCAUACGUCCUGAGGGAGAAAGCGGGGGACCGUAAGGCCUCGCGCGAUUGGAGCGGCCGAUGUCGGAUUAGCUAGUUGGUAGGGUAAAGGCCUACCAAGGCGACGAUCCGUAGCGGGUCUGAGAGGAUGAUCCGCCACACUGGAACUGAGAGACGGUCCGGACUCCUACGGGAGGCAGCAGUGGGGAAUUUUGGACAAUGGGCGAAAGCCUGAUCCAGCCAUGCCGCGUGAGUGAAGAAGGCCUUCGGGUUGUAAAGCUCUUUCAGCCGGAAAGAAAUCGCGCAGGAUAAUACUCUGCGUGGAUGACGGUACCGGAAGAAGAAGCACCGGCUAACUACGUGCCAGCAGCCGCCGCAGUAA
rnacentral:rRNA from 1 species